UGGCGGCGUGCCUAAUACAUGCAAGUCGAACGAACUCUGGUAUUGAUUGGUGCUUGCAUCAUGAUUUACAUUUGAGUGAGUGGCGAACUGGUGAGUAACACGUGGGAAACCUGCCCAGAAGCGGGGGAUAACACCUGGAAACAGAUGCUAAUACCGCAUAACAACUUGGACCGCAUGGUCCGAGCUUGAAAGAUGGCUUCGGCUAUCACUUUUGGAUGGUCCCGCGGCGUAUUAGCUAGAUGGUGGGGUAACGGCUCACCAUGGCAAUGAUACGUAGCCGACCUGAGAGGGUAAUCGGCCACAUUGGGACUGAGACACGGCCCAAACUCCUACGGGAGGCAGCAGUAGGGAAUCUUCCACAAUGGACGAAAGUCUGAUGGAGCAACGCCGCGUGAGUGAAGAAGGGUUUCGGCUCGUAAAACUCUGUUGUUAAAGAAGAACAUAUCUGAGAGUAACUGUUCAGGUAUUGACGGUAUUUAACCAGAAAGCCACGGCUAACUACGUGCCAGCAGCCGCGGUAAUACGUAGGUGGCAAGCGUUGUCCGGAUUUAUUGGGCGUAAAGCGAGCGCAGGCGGUUUUUUAAGUCUGAUGUGAAAGCCUUCGGCUCAACCGAAGAAGUGCAUCGGAAACUGGGAAACUUGAGUGCAGAAGAGGACAGUGGAACUCCAUGUGUAGCGGUGAAAUGCGUAGAUAUAUGGAAGAACACCAGUGGCGAAGGCGGCUGUCUGGUCUGUAACUGACGCUGAGGCUCGAAAGUAUGGGUAGCAAACAGGAUUAGAUACCCUGGUAGUCCAUACCGUAAACGAUGAAUGCUAAGUGUUGGAGGGUUUCCGCCCUUCAGUGCUGCAGCUAACGCAUUAAGCAUUCCGCCUGGGGAGUACGGCCGCAAGGCUGAAACUCAAAGGAAUUGACGGGGGCCCGCACAAGCGGUGGAGCAUGUGGUUUAAUUCGAAGCUACGCGAAGAACCUUACCAGGUCUUGACAUACUAUGCAAAUCUAAGAGAUUAGACGUUCCCUUCGGGGACAUGGAUACAGGUGGUGCAUGGUUGUCGUCAGCUCGUGUCGUGAGAUGUUGGGUUAAGUCCCGCAACGAGCGCAACCCUUAUUAUCAGUUGCCAGCAUUAAGUUGGGCACUCUGGUGAGACUGCCGGUGACAAACCGGAGGAAGGUGGGGGAUGACGUCAAAUCAUCAUGCCCCUUAUGACCUGGGCUACACACGUGCUACAAUGGAUGGUACAACGAGUUGCGAACUCGCGAGAGUAAGCUAAUCUCUUAAAGCCAUUCUCAGUUCCGGAUUGUAGGCUGCAACUCGCCUACAUGAAGUCGGAAUCGCUAGUAAUCGCGGAUCA
rnacentral:rRNA from 2 species